AGGCAGGGAGAGGCAAAAUGUCCUGGUAAUAUCAAAAAUAAACAUUUGCUACCAUCAAACUUCACUUGUUAACCAACUAAAUUUGUCUUCAAAGCGAAACUCAGUGCAUACUUAGCCAAAAUACAGAUUCAGCCCCAAAACUUUUCAGUUCACUCUUCAUCAACAUUAAACACAGUGACAGCUGCAGAAGUCCACCGUACGCUAAGGAAGCUUGUUAAAAUAAGCAUACUUUGCGUUACUUGAGACAAUAAACAAACAGAAUAGCAAUCACUCCUAGACUGGUUUAGUAACACUGAGGACUCUAGGAAAGUUGAGCUGAAAAUACAUUUACUGACCUUAAAGUGGGCUUCCCUGGAGAGUGGGUAAAUGGGAUUACUUUUCCCUGUCUGUAAGGUUCUGGACAGUGGCACAACUCCUACUGGAUUUGGCAUUUCCAGGCCCACCUCUUAAUGAUAUCUAAAGGAAGCAACUGAGAAUGAAGAUUUUCUUUCUCUGGCCUUUUUUACAGAGAUGCUUGAUUUGUUCUGAGUGCUGUGGUUAUACUUGGGCCUGUCUGCCCAGCUCUGAGAUAGGAGGCAUACCAAUUUUGAUUUGAACGAGUUACCAAUUCAGCGCUCGUAUAUCUACUUAAGCUGUCAAAACAUUACAUGCUGUGGAAUAUAUUAUAUAUAUUAGAUGGGUCAGAUUUAGGCCACUUCCUUCCCACAUACAAAAUAGGAGGUGGUUAAGUAGUGCACAGAUUUUAAGCUUGUUCAUGGCCUCCCAUAAUCCUACUCUCAGCAAGUCCUGUAGUGGGAGCCAGAAGAGGAACAGAAGGAAUCAGAGGGAAUAAUUUAUAUUUUUCAUUAUUGCUGUCCAUCAUCCUGAUGUUCUCAAUGCUUUCCUCUGACAGAAGUCCUUAAACAGCCAGGAGUGCUGUGGAGCAGAUGACUUAAUCAUUCGACCACGUGUCACGCUCUCCAGAUGUUGCCUGGGAUUCUCAUGGACUUACUACAUGCUGUUGCAGUCUUUCUGCCACUCUGUGACCCCGCACGCCAGAAGU
rnacentral:lncRNA from 1 species